ACAAAAAUCUUAUCACAUCCAGCAUCCGUGGCCCUACGGUCGACACGUGUCCCCUCCAACCUGGCCAUCCCGGCGCCUACCUGAACCUUCGAGAAGGAAGGGGGGCGAAAAGUCCAGGGAACCUUCGCGCACUUUCGCUCCCCCACACACCUCGCGGAGAACCAAAUCCUUCUCUAUCUUCAAUCGUAGCCGUCCGUCACACACACACGCUUGAUCUGACAGCCAAAAACACCGCCGCAUAGAGAUAUCUAUGAGGCCGGCCCCACCCGCCUGGCUAGCUUAGUCCCGGUCGAGUGGUUUUUUUGUCGCAGCCCGGUUCACAAAAUGGGUCGGGUUUUUUUUUCUCGUGCUGGCCUCCCGUUGAACUAUAAAAAAUUCCUAAUCCGCAAUCGAAGCUUCCAGAAGGCUUCUUCUUCCGUACCUUCCACCCAACGCGAGGCGGCUUUCCCGCAUCUGGAAACUUCGGUUUCCCCGACUCAGAUCCGGCCGGGCGGCGGUGGUCAGAUGGCUGAGCAGAUCGGCGCUGCCGCCGCGGAGGCCGCGGCCAGUGAGCCGCCUGCGCCUGCGCCUGUCCCGGCGCCGGCGCAAAGGUCGCUGCUGACGCCGUUCCUGACGAAGACGUACCAGCUGGUGGAUGACAUGGCGGUGGACGACGUGAUCUCCUGGAACGACGACGGCUCGACGUUCGUGGUGUGGCGGCCAGCGGAGUUCGCGCGCGACCUUCUUCCCAAGUACUUCAAGCACAACAACUUCUCCAGCUUCGUGCGGCAGCUCAACACAUACGGAUUUAGGAAGAUCGUGCCGGACCGGUGGGAGUUCGCCAACGACUGCUUCCGCCGAGGGGAGAAGCGCCUGCUCUGCGAUAUACACCGCCGGAAGGUGGCGCCGGCUCCAGCCGCGCCCGCGCAGGGCUUGGCGACGGCCGCAGCGGCGGCAGCGGCGUCCGGGGUGGUAACGGUGGCCGCAGCUCCGAUUCCCAUGGCGCUGCCGGUGACGCGGCCGGGCUCACCGGCGCUCUCCUCGGACGAGCAGGUCCUGUCGUCCAACUCCGGCUCCGCGGAGGAGCACCAGCUGGCGCCGUCAGGCUCCGGCGGGAGCGGCAGCAGGUCCGCGUCCGGCGACAUGGGCGAGGAGAACGAGCGUCUCCGCCGCGAGAACGCGCGGCUGACCCGCGAGCUCGGGCAGAUGAAGAAGCUCUGCAAUAAUAUCCUCCUCCUCAUGUCCAAGUACGCCACCUCCCAGCAGCUCGACUCCUCCGCGGCGCUGUCCUCCGUCGUCAACUGUUCGGGGGAGUCAUCGGAGGCCGUGCCCCCUCUUCCACCCCUCCCCCCGGCGAUACUCGAGCUGAUGCCCUCGUGCCCGGCCCUGGCCACUGCUGCCGCCGGCCUCGCAGCCGACGCGGGACCCGACGCGGCCGCGAGGCUGUUCGGCAUAUCCAUCGGGCUGAAGCGGUCGCGAGACGGCGACGGCGAGGACUCGGCGGACCACGGCGCCGGCGCGGAGGUGAAGCCGGAGACGUCGGAUCCGCAUUCAGGCAGCAAGGAGCAGUCGCCGGACCAGCACCCCUGGCCCAUAUACCGGCCCACGCCCGUGUACCACUCGACGCGGCCCUGCAUCGGACCGGACCCAGGGGCCGGGUCCGACCAAGACGGAUCCAACUCCAGGAACAGCUGCAAAUACGAGUAACCGUGAUUUGCAUGGGUGCUGGUUCUUGGAACCGCGUGUUCACCAAAUUUGUUAUGGGUCAACUCGGAGAGGGAUCACUCAGCAUUUAUAGGGACCCACAGGUAAACUGCAGACGUCAUUGGCAACUAGAAGUCGGGGAAAUAUUAGGUGCAAAUAUUAGGUGCAAAUGCGUUAUCGAGUGAAAAGUGGAAACAUGAAACUUCCACUGAUUCGAAGGUGAGGUUUGGAUGCUGCGUGGGAUUAUAUAGGGGCGUCGUCCAAUCGGUGUAGCUCAGGCUGAGGCGAAAUAAAGUGCAUUCGUCUUUCUGGAUUGUUCCUUGCUUACUUUUCUGAAGGAUGGAUGAUGGACUGCUAUCAGUGGUUGCAUUUGCAAGGCCAGCUGGUCGCCCUUCCGAAUCAUCUAAAGCAUAGUAUAAUUCCGGGAGACACUAGUCUGGAAAAAUAAUCCUAAUAGUAGAUAUAGAUGGAAUUCUUAGGUGAAAGAAAAAGAGCUAAUGCUAAAAAAGGCCUCCUACAAGGUGACCUCUUUUUCUAAUGUUAUUUAAUAUUGUAGUUGAUAUGUUAUCUGUUUUUAUCAAAUUUGUCAAAGCAGAUGGAUAAAUUUAUGAAGUGGUGCCUCAUUUCUUA